CAGAGUCCCAGCCCACCUGGCACGGGGCAGUCUGUCCUGGCAGCUGCUCCAGGGCUGUGCUCUGGCUGCAGGGAGAGAGCAGAGCUGAUCACACUCUGAUGGUUUGGUGGGGCUCGUGCAGGGCAGGGGCUCCUCACACCCCUCCAGCCUGGACACUGCUGGGGGGUGAGCUCUUUUUGAAAAAACAUUGCAAAAGACCCUCAAAAGUUGACUGCUGUAAGUACAACAUUGCAUGCUGCUGUUGUGUUCAGGCCUGAAAUAGUUCAGCUCACCCAAAAUCCAGAUGCUGGGGGUUUAGGAGACAGCAGCCGUGGAAGAAGGAGCUAUGGCCCUUGGGGAGCUCAGGGGUCAGAACACAGAGGGCAGGAACCUUGCUGACAAGCACAGGUACACUGCAGGCACACACCUGCCAGGGCACCGUUUGUUCUGAGGUCUCAGCAGACGAGGAGAGGCGUGGAAGAGAGGGAUAAUUUAAAAGCAAACCCUGAACCUUCACACAGGUGCCCUGGAACACCUCAGACCUGCUUGGCCAAGGCCUGGAAGGGAUCUCCUGGCUGGUGUGAAAUGUGCUGCCAAACAGAAGAAAAAGGUGUUGGUGCUGUUGUGAGCGGGCACUCAGAGGGAUAAAGUCAGGCUGCAGGGUGGUGAGUGCCCUGGGCAGAGCUGGCAGCAUCCAGCCCAUCUCCUCACUCUUCACCCUGCAGAGUGUGCCCUGUGCUCACACUGCCAGGGCUGACCCAGCCAGAGCCUGCAUGCAGCACAGAAAAGGAGCCUGGCUCCCAUGCACAGAGCAGCCAGGAGGAGGCAAACCAGCUGAUUCUGACUUUCCAAACCUGCACGCCAAACCCCGUGGGCACACGGUCUCAGGGGAACAAAAAUGUUAUGAAAACACUUUGCUAAACUCCUUCAGAACAAACCUGCCUGGGGGGAGAAGGGACCAGCCUGGCAGCAGCCUGGGGGAGCAGGGACCAGCCUGGGAGCAGCCUGGGAGGAGAAGGGACCAGCCUGGGACCAGCCUGGGAGCAGCCUGGGGGGAGCAGGGACCAGCCUGGGAGCAGCCUGGGAGGAGAAGGGACCAGCCUGGGAGCAGCCUGGGAGCAGGGACCAGCCUGGGAGCAGCCUGGGGGGAGCAGGGACCAGCCUGGGAGCAGGGACCAGCCUGGGAGCAGCCUGCAUCCUGCUCUGCCGUGGGGCCACAGAGGCUGAGUGAAGAUCUGGCACCUUCCCUUGCAGGAAUUCCCAAUUCUGCCCUAAUUCUCACAGUCCCUCUCCCUCCCCCAGAGCUGAGUGAAAAUCUGACACCUUCCCUUGCAGGUAUUCCCAAUUCUGCCCUAAUUCUCACAGUCCCUCUCCCUCCCCCAGAGCUGAGUGAAAAUCUGACACCUUCCCUUGCAGGUAUUCCCAAUUCUGCCCUAUUCUCACAGCCCCACUCCCUCACCUGGAGCUGAGUGAAGAUCUGACACCUUCCCUUGCAGGUAUUCCCAGUUCUGCCCUAAUUCUCACAGCCCCACUCCCUCCCCCAGAGCUGAGUGAAGAUCUGACACCUUCCCUUGCAGGAAUUCCCAGUUCUGCCCUAUUCUGACAGCCCCACUCCCUCCCCCAGAGCUGGUCCCCCCAGGAUGGAGCAGUGGGGACAUCCAGCCAGGUCUGCCCUGCCUGCACAGCUCCUGCUGUCCCCUGGAACCAGGGCUGGUGCCUGGGCAGUGUGCCACAGCCUGGUAAAUCCCAGGGCUUGGCCUGAAAUAGGGAAAUGCUGGAUGUCCUGCUGUCUGCAGGUGAACAGAGUGCUGUGGGUGGUAUCUCAGGGUGUUCAUUACACAAACUGCCACUGCUCUGGCAGCUGGGUCAAAGAAACCCAAGCAAUAAAAACGAGGUGGGAGCAGGGCCAGGGAGAAGCUCCCGAGGGAGCAGGGCUGCCUUUCUGUGACAUCCAGCUGCACUUCCUUCUCAUGGAAAGCGAAGAGUCCUCUCUCACACAAGGGCUGGAAAAGACAAAAUGGGGCCAGAAGAGUUGCCCUGAUUGUUUUCCUUUCUGGCCUGAAGGAUGAGCAAUACAAGAUGACAAACAAAGAAGCAACAGAUGUUUCAGUGCCCACUUGGAGAGUCAAGACAUUCACAAACCCCAAGAGACUAAAUAGGAACUGCAGAGCUGUGAUUCAUCCUGCACACCAUAACCCAGGCCUCGUGCUCCCUCUCAUUCCCCAGCUUUGUAUUUAGGUGCUCACCUCCCCUGUCCCUCUUAAACCAAUAAAAAAAACCUUACAGA